UACGGAGGGUGCAAGCGUUGCUCGGAUUUAUUGGGCGUAAAGGGUAGGUAGGUGGUCUCAUUUGUCUGGGGUGAAAGCCUUGAGCUUAACUCAAGAAGUGCCCCGGAAACGGUGAGACUCGAGUCUUGGAGAGGGUCGUGGAAUUCCCGGUGUAGCGGUGAAAUGCGUAGAGAUCGGGAGGAACACCAGAGGCGAAGGCGGCGACCUGGACAAGCACUGACACUCAACUACGAAAGCGUGGGGAGCAAACAGG
rnacentral:rRNA from 1 species